rnacentral:rRNA from 1 species
CAGUCGCCGCGGUAAUACGGAGGGUGCGGGCGUUAAUCGGAAUUACUGGGCGUAAAGCGUACGCAGGCGGUUUGUUAAGUCAGAUGUGAAAUCCCCGAGCUUAACUCGGGAACUGCAUUUGAAACUGGCAGGCUAGAGUCUCGUAGAGGGGGGUAGAAUUCCAGGUGUAGCGGUGAAAUGCGUAGAGAUCUGGAGGAAUACCGGUGGCGAAGGCGGCCCCCUGGACGAAGACUGACGCUCAGGUACGAGAGCGUGGGGAGCAAACAGGAUUAGAGACCCCUGUAGUCCCUGUCUCUUAUAC